AUUGAACGCUGGCGGCAGGCUUAACACAUGCAAGUCGAGCGAGCGGCGGACGGGUGAGUAAUGUCUGUGAAAAUGCCUGAUGGAGGGGGAUCACUACUGGACACGGUAGCCAAAACCGCAUACCAUCAGAUGUGCCCAGAUGGGAUUAGCUAGGAGGUGGGGUAAUGGCUCACCUAGGAGACGCUCUCUAGCUGGUCUGAGAGGAGGACCAGCCACACUGGAACUGAGACACGGUCCAGCCUCCUACGGGAGGCAGCAGUGGGGAAUAUUGCACAAUGGGCGCAAGCCUGAUGCAGCCAUGCCGCGUGUGUGAAGAAGGCCUUCGGGUUGUAAAGCACUUUCAGCGAGGAGGCGUUACUCGCAGAAGAAGCACCGGCUAACUCCGUGCCAGCAGCCGCGGUAAUUC
rnacentral:rRNA from 1 species